GGAUGAUCUAGCCAACUAAGGCAAGAUCGUAGGAUGAUCCGGCCAACUAAGGCAAGGUCGGGAGUUGUCCGGCCAACUAAGGCAAUACUGGAAAGUUUUAAUUAAUUGUUCAAAAUGUCCGCCAUCAACAGUUUGACAAUAAGCGAAUCUAUCGUAAAAAGAUGAAACGGCUUUUUGAAUGUAAUCAGCAGGAAUGAGAGCAGCUUCAUCAAGAAUUCGAUUUCGAAGUAAUCGUUAGGUGAUAAAUCGGGUGAUCGAGGAGGCUAUUCUAUAGGUCCUCUUCUACCUAUCCAUCGAUGAGGAAACACUGUCCAGAUAAUUACGGACGUCCCUUCCGUAAUGUGGGGGGGGGCACCAUCUUGUUGGAACUAUGUAUGCUCGAAGUUGUCAUCCAUGAUUGCUUGUAUCGCUGGAACUAUUUCGUUUCUUAUCAUAUUCUCAUAUUUUAUCGCUGUUAGAUUUCCGUCAAUAAAGAAUGGACUUAUGAGAACAUUA